rnacentral:rRNA from 1 species
GUCCACGCCCUAAACCAUGUCAACUGGGUGUUCGGGAAGCGAUUUCUGAGUACCGUAGCUAACGCGUGAAGUUGACCGCCUGGGGAGUACGGCCGCAAGGUUAAACUCAAAGGAAUUGACGGGGACCCGCACAAGCGGUGGAUGAUGUGGAUUAAUUCGAUGCAACGCGAACAACCUUACCUACCCUCGACAUGUCAGAGAGCCUGCUGAGAGGCGGGUGUGCUCGAAAGAGAAUCGGAACACAGGUGCUGCAUGGCUGUCGU